rnacentral:lncRNA from 1 species
AGCCACAUUAGUAGUGUUUUCGUGGACGACCAAAACUAAACUUACAUGCAUCAUGAAUGUGUAAAGACUAAAACUUUUAACUUAUAAUUUUUCCAUAUAUAAAAAAAAAGACCAAUUCUAGGGUGGACGACCAUGAUAGGUGAUUCAUUUUUUACCAUGAUUCCUGACCAUUAGAUUAAUCUUAGUAUGAUAGGUCAUUCCACACCAAAUCCCCCACCCCCUCCAAGUAACCGUCGUUUGUCACCGUCGAAGGCGAUUUCCGGCGAUGGCGGCAUUUUUUGCCCCACCGCUGCACACCCAAUUCCCUACCCUUCUAACCAGUUGCGACUUUGAUAUCGCAGCUCUGAUCUCGCAUCUUCGACUCUGCAAAUCUUCUCUAAAGCCUCAUCGACAUCCUCGCCAUGAACUGCAUCAAAAUCUUCAUAUAGCUAAAACCAAU